rnacentral:rRNA from 1 species
GACGAACGCUGGCGGCGUGCUUAACACAUGCAAGUCGAACGGAAAGGCCCUGCUUUUGUGGGUUGCUCGAGUGGCGAACGGGUGAGUAACACGUGAGUAACCUGCCCUUGACUUUGGGAUAACUUCAGGAAACUGGGGCUAAUACCGGAUAGGAGCUCCUGCUGCAUGGUGGGGGUUGGAAAGUUUCGGCGGUUGGGGAUGGACUCGCGGCUUAUCCGCUUGUUGGUGGGGUAGUGGCUUACCAAGGCUUUGACGGGUAGCCGGCCUGAGAGGGUGACCGGGCACAUUGGGACUGAGAUACGGCGCAGUAGCCUACGGGAGGCAGCAGUCGGGAAUAUUGCAGAAUGGGCCGAAGUCUGAUGCAGAAACGCUGCGUGCGGGAUGACGGCCUUCGGGUUGUAAACCGCUUUCUACUGUAACGAAGAGUGAUUGACGGUAAUGGGUAAAGAAGCCCCGGCUAACUACGUG